rnacentral:miRNA from 1 species
GACAAACCAUCCUGGUUUGCCAGGGACUGAGGGGUUUCCUAGGUGUGGAACUUCCGGUGCUAAAACUGAGACAG